GGAGUAGCCGAAAAAAACGCCCAGUAAACGGUAAAAUUAAAGAUGACUACCAGAAUAUUGAUUUGCUUUUCACUGUAAAAGAUGGGAUUGUCAGUCAGUUACAAUGUAAUGGGAUCAUCUUUGUCAUCUUGCUCUUGUCUGGAUGUAGCUGCAUAUUUUCUGCUCUGCACUUAAGACCUUCAGAGUCAAUAGUUUCAGUAACUCCAGUGGACAUGGAUCAAGAAAAGCUCCCAGAGGGUUUCCACGAAGAUCUGCAGGAGAUGAAGAGGAAACUCAAAUUG